rnacentral:rRNA from 1 species
UGCAGUCGACGGUAACGCGGGCUUCGGCCUGGCGACGAGUGGCGGACGGGUGAGUAAUGCUUGGGAAUCUGCCCAAUAGCGGGGGAUAACCUGGGGAAACUCAGGCUAAUACCGCAUACGACCUACGGGUGAAAGCAGGGGACCUUCGGGCCUUGCACUAUUGGAUGAGCCCAAGUCGGAUUAGCUUGUUGGUGGGGUAACGGCCUACCAAGGCGACGAUCCGUAGCUGGUCUGAGAGGAUGAUCAGCCACACUGGGACUGAGACACGGCCCAGACUCCUACGGGAGGCAGCAGUGGGGAAUAUUGGACAAUGGGGGCAACCCUGAUCCAGCAAUGCCGCGUGUGUGAAGAAGGCCUGCGGGUUGUAAAGCACUUUCAGCAGGGAAGAAAAGCCUGGGGUUAAUACCCCCGGGUCUUGACGUUACCUGCACAAGAAGCACCGGCUAACUCCGUGCCAGCAGCCGCGGUAAUACGGAGGGUGCAAGCGUUAAUCGGAAUUACUGGGCGUAAAGCGCACGUAGGCGGUCGAGUAAGUCGGAUGUGAAAGCCCCGGGCUUAACCUGGGAAUUGCAUUCGAUACUGCCUGACUGGAGUAUGGGAGAGGAAAGCGGAAUUUCCGGUGUAGCGGUGAAAUGCGUAGAUAUCGGAAGGAACAUCAAUGGCGAAGGCAGCUUUCUGGCCCAAUACUGACGCUGAGGUGCGAAAGCGUGGGGAUCAAACAGGAUUAGAUACCCUGGUAGUCCACGCUGUAAACGAUGAGAACUAGAUGUUGGGAGGGUUUAGCCUCUCAGUGUCGCAGCUAACGCACUAAGUUCUCCGCCUGGGGAGUACGGUCGCAAGACUAAAACUCAAAGGGAUUGACGGGGACCCGCACAAGCGGUGGAGCAUGUGGUUUAAUUCGAUGCAACGCGAAGAACCUUACCUGGUCUUGACAUCCCGGGAACCCCGCAGAGAUGUGGGGGUGCCUUCGGGAACCCGGAGACAGGUGCUGCAUGGCUGUCGUCAGCUCGUGUCGUGAGAUGUUGGGUUAAGUCCCGCAACGAGCGCAACCCUUGUCCGUAGUUGCCAUCAUUCAGUUGGGCACUCUACGGAGACCGCCGGUGGCAAAUCGGAGGAAGGUGGGGAUGACGUCAAGUCCUCAUGGCCCUUAUGGGUAGGGCUUCACACGUCAUACAAUGGUCGGUACAGAGGGUUGCCAAGCCGCGAGGUGGAGCCAAUCCCAGAAAGCCGAUCGUAGUCCGGAUUGUUCUCUGCAACUCGAGAGCAUGAAGUCGGAAUCGCUAGUAAUCGCGGAUCAGCAUGUCGCGGUGAAUACGUUCCCGGGUCUUGUACACACCGCCCGUCACACCAUGGGAGUGGAAUCUGGCAGAAGUAGGUAGCCUAACCGCAA